CACACUCUUACAACUUCUUACAACUUCAUGUUCAAGCAGAUGCAGCAUUUUAUUUCGUUGUGUUUUGAUCCAUUUGUGUUUUCCAUUUAGUGAGUAUUAGACGUUUACCUGAUCUAAAAGUGUCUUGUUUCAAUCCAAGAGAAAAGAUUGAAUGGGCUGAUGAGUGAAAUUGACAAGAAGCAAAGGAAGGAUGUGGAAG
rnacentral:lncRNA from 1 species